GAUGAACGCUGGCGGCGUGCCUAAUACAUGCAAGUCGAGCGAACAGACGAGGAGCUUGCUCCUCUGACGUUAGCGGCGGACGGGUGAGUAACACGUGGAUAACCUACCUAUAAGACUGGGAUACCUCCGGGAAACCGGAGCUAAUACCGGAUAAUAUAUUGAACCGCAUGGUUCAAUAGUGAAAGACGGUUUUGCUGUCACUUAUAGAUGGAUCCGAGCCGCAUUAGCUAGUUGGUAAGGUAACGGCUUACCAAGGCAACGAUGCGUAGCCGACCUGAGAGGGUGAUCGGCCACACUGGAACUGAGACACGGUCCAGACUCCUACGGGAGGCAGCAGUAGGGAAUCUUCCGCAAUGGGCGAAAGCCUGACGGAGCAACGCCGCGUGAGUGAUGAAGGUCUUCGGAUCGUAAAACUCUGUUAUUAGGGAAGAACAAAUGUGUAAGUAACUAUGCACGUCUUGACGGUACCUAAUCAGAAAGCCACGGCUAACUACGUGCCAGCCGCCGCGGUAA
rnacentral:rRNA from 1 species